GAUGAAGAACGUAGCGAAAUGUGAUACUUGGUGUGAAUUGCAGAAUCCCGCGAAUCAUCGAGUUUUUGAACGCAAGUUGCGCCCGAAGCCAUUCGGCCGAGGGCACGUCUGCCUGGGUGUCACGCAUCGUUGCCCCCCCAAACUCCGGUUCGGGCGGGGCGGAAGUUGGCCUCCCGUGCGUGCCUGCGCGCGCGGUUAGCCCAAAAGCGAGUCCUCGGCGACGAGCGCCACGACAAUCGGUGGUUUUUUUACCCUCGUUCCUCGUCGUGCGUGUCCCGUCGCCCGAACACGCUCUUGUGACCCUCACGCGUCGCCUCGGCGGCGCUCCCAACGCGACCCCAGGUCAGGCGGGACUACCCGCUGAGUUUAAGCAUAUCAAUAAGCGGAGGA
rnacentral:misc_RNA from 1 species